rnacentral:rRNA from 1 species
AGAGUUUGAUCCUGGCUCAGAACGAACGCUGGCGGCAGGCUUAACACAUGCAAGUCGAACGCCCCGCAAGGGGAGUGGCAGACGGGUGAGUAACGCGUGGGAAUCUACCUAGUUCUGCGGAACAACAGUUGGAAACGACUGCUAAUACCGCAUACGCCCUACGGGGGAAAGAUUUAUCGGAAUUAGAUGAGCCCGCGUAAGAUUAGCUAGUUGGUGGGGUAAUGGCCUACCAAGGCGACGAUCUUUAGCUGGUCUGAGAGGAUGAUCAGCCACAUUGGGACUGAGACACGGCCCAAACUCCUACGGGAGGCAGCAGUGGGGAAUCUUGCGCAAUGGGCGAAAGCCUGACGCAGCCAUGCCGCGUGAAUGAUGAAGGUCUUAGGAUUGUAAAAUUCUUUCACCGGGGACGAUAAUGACGGUACCCGGAGAAGAAGCCCCGGCUAACUUCGUGCCAGCAGCCGCGGUAAUACGAAGGGGGCUAGCGUUGCUCGGAAUUACUGGGCGUAAAGGGAGCGUAGGCGGAUAGUUUAGUCAGAGGUGAAAGCCCAGGGCUCAACCUUGGAAUUGCCUUUGAUACUGGCUAUCUUGAGUUUGGGAGAGGUGAGUGGAACUCCGAGUGUAGAGGUGAAAUUCGUAGAUAUUCGGAAGAACACCAGUGGCGAAGGCGACUCACUGGCCCAAUACUGACGCUGAGGCUCGAAAGCGUGGGGAGCAAACAGGAUUAGAUACCCUGGUAGUCCACGCCGUAAACGAUGAGUGCUAGUUGUCGGCAUGCAUGCAUGUCGGUGACGCAGCUAACGCAUUAAGCACUCCGCCUGGGGAGUACGGUCGCAAGAUUAAAACUCAAAGGAAUUGACGG